GUAGUCAACUCGGACCACAUACCUACGGCCCAUUUGGGACGAGUUGCAGAAAAUAAAAUAAAAUAAUAUUUUAGUGGUCAACUCGUCCCACGUCACUACCACAAUGAGAUAAGGUACAGUCAGUAGCAAAAGGGGUUAGUGUAGAAAUAAUAAAGUUCUAUUACUUUGUUGAAAACAAAAGAUUUUCUAGGAACUUCAUUCUAUCUAUGUUAUCAUUUACUUCAUAAGUGACCGCCAUGACCAUUGUUUAAGCCACACAUGUUUACUAUUCUUAGUAAUUUUGGAUAACACAUGAAUUUGUGCGAUUGCUAAAAUAAAUUGAGCUAAUAAAUUAUUUAACCGACACUAAAAAAAGAGGUUCUUACUUCGUAAGGAUGUUGUAAUAUGAAAUAA